rnacentral:sRNA from 1 species
AGAGAUUGCAGGGCUCCUCUCCUCCUCCCUGGAGCCAGGCAUACGCGGCGGCACCUCUCCUCCUCCCUGGUGCCGCCGCACACCAUACGGUUCGAGGCCCCUCUCCUCCUCCCUGGGGCGCUCGUA